rnacentral:rRNA from 1 species
CCUACGGUAGGCAGCAGUGAGGCAUAUUGGUCAAUGGACGCAAGUCUGAUCCAGCCAUGCCGCGUGAAGGCAGACGGCUCUAUGAGUUUUCACCUGCUUUUGUACGAGGGUAAACUCAGAUACGCGUAUCUGUCUGAAAGUAUCUUCCGAAUAAGGAUCGGCUAACUCCGUGCCAGCAGCCGCGGUAAUACGGAGGAUUCAAGCGUUAUCCGGAUUUAUUGGGUUUAAAGGGGGCGUAGGCGGUCGGAUAAGUUAGAGGUGAAAUCCCGAGGCUCAACUUCGGAAUUGCCUCUGAUACUGUUCGGCUAGAGAGUAGUGGCGGUAGGCGGAAUGUAUGGUGUAGCGGUGAAAUGCUUAGAGAUCAUACAGAACACCGAUGGCGAAGGCAGCUUACCAAGCUACUUCUGACGUUGAGGCACGAAAGCGUGGGGAGCAAACAGGAUUAGAUACCCUAGUAGUC